rnacentral:lncRNA from 1 species
AAAAAAUAAAUUUAUGAAAACACUUAUAAGUAUAAAAUAAGAUUUAAAAAAAUAUGCACUCAAACAUGAACCACCUCACCGGCGACCACAAUAUUGUCGAGAUGUUGCUCAGUUGUGCCUUUCCAUUCCAAAAUUACUAUUUCUCUUUUCUCUCUUCUUCCUUUUCUCCUUCUUGCACUUCUCUUCGCCCCUUUUGCACUCCUCUUUUCUAGAUUUGAGAUUACUUCUCCCUCCUUCCUGAUGCCAAAGAUGUUGAGGAGAGAAAGAGUAGACAUUGUUUGGAGAAUUGCGAGGUCGACCUCACCAAAUUGUGCGUCCGGGGACUUUGCACCUUAU